rnacentral:rRNA from 1 species
GGGGCUUCGUUCCGGUGUGGUCGCGGCCUCCGGGGGCUCCCCCCGGGCGGUAGAGGUAACACUCUUACGCGCCACAUGUCUGAAUCCUUUUUUUACGAGCACCUUUCGUUCUCCUUCGGUGGGGCAACCUGCCGUUGGAACUUAUCAAAACCUUUUUUUGCAUCUAGCAUUACCUGUUCAGAUACAAACAAUCGUUACAACUUUCAACAAUGGAUCUCUUGGCUCUGGCAUCGAUGAAGAACGCAGCGAAAUGCGAUAAGUAGUGUGAAUUGCAGAAUUCAGUGAAUCAUCGAAUCUUUGAACGCACAUUGCGCCCCUUGGUAUUCCAUGGGGCAUGCCUGUUCGAGCGUCAUCUACACCCUCAAGCUCUGCUUGGUGUUGGGCGUCUGUCCCGCCUCUGCGCGUGGACUCGCCCCAAAUUCAUUGGCAGCGGUCUUUGCCUCCUCUCGCGCAGCACAUUGCGCUUUAGAGGGGUGUGGGCCGCGUCCACGAAGCAACAUUAUCGUCUUUGACCUCGGAUCAGGUAGGGAUACCCGCUGAACUUAAGCAUAUCAAUAAGCGGAGGAA